UCACCCUAUUAGUAUCAUAUAAGGUCGUCGUUCCACAGCAGCGGAGGGCGUCCCACGGUAUGGUCUACUUCUGGAGACUCCGACUAUGAAUAUACAUGAUAGUGACCGAUAAACGAUAAUCGAUAUCUGUGUGCGAAUCACGAAUAUUGUCGACUCUAGUGGUUAGUAAUUUGAUAGACGGUUAACUGGAGUUUGUAUUGUUUUUAUUAGUUUCUAUCGUUACCGACUUAAGAACAAGGCAAAGGUCGUGUCGUACCAAGAAAUGAAGGAACUGGCUUGUGACAGACUGCGGUGGUGGCAACUACACCAACAAGAGCAAGGCUCUUCAAUUUAAGAAGAAGACGAACGUUACCGACUGGGGCGCUGAUCAAUAUGUUAUAGAAAUUGCUAUCGAAUUAUCUAUCAACUAGAAUCGUCAAUAUUCGUGAUUGGCACACUGAAGCCGCGAGGUCAGCCAAGUACUGACCCAUCAUACAUUACCCUCGCUUUCUACUGGACUUAUGUGCAAAAUGUACUCGAUUGCAGGGUAGGCAGAGAUGCAUUGAUGCGCCAAAAUAAUGCAUCUACUUCAUCUCAUCUUCAACUACUUUCAGAGCAUGAGUGAUGAAAAACCAUUUUCAAUAUGUCUUGCAAUUCAAAUAUUAAUUACGAUAAUUUUAAAAUUAGAAUCAUUAAUCGCAUCCUUAUUAUGGCAUAAUAAAGUUAUAAUGAUGAUAAGUUAUGAAAUAUUGCAGUAAAUUAUCAUCUUGGUGUGUAUGUUUCGGGAACUACAUUAUUGUUUUAUUGUACAAUUCCAAAAUUAUUGUAUAAAAUUUUCUAAAUAUUUCAACCGAUCGUAACCUAUAAACUCCACCCUGUAUUUAGUUGAUUAUUUUAAUGAUGUACUUCAUCAUUAAACUGCUUGCAUGCAGUUUGGCAGAGUGCUGUAAAUUAUACUGUGUAUUGUAUUAUGAAUAAAAACAAUAAUAAAAAUAAUAAAUCAUCAUCAUCAGGUCCUGGGAUUCCUAAUCAGGGACACAUAGGGCUCGAAGUAUAGCUUUCCACUCUGACCGGUCCUGUGCCACGUCUUCGACUUCUGAUAUAAUGUACUUAAUGUUUUUUUUUAAUCUUUUUCUAUUAAUGAUGCAACCUUUCUCAAAUAAACAAACAUCAUUAUUAAGUUUACCGAUUCUACACGAAACAGAUAAACAAACUAAACACAGCGCUAUUAAAAGGCGCGUAGUGAGCGCUGGUGUCACUGCAGCCCCGCGCUCCAACAUGUCGCCAGCUACAGCCUUCGUCAUCGCCGCCUUAGCUAUGGCUUUUGCAGUUGCCGCUUAUCAUGAAAGUAAUCGCAAACACAUAAUGGUACUUGAUGAUCAAUGAUUUCAAAAGGAAGGAUACGCCCUUCAGAACAUUUUACUGAAACCUUCUUCAUACAAACAAGAUAACUGUCAUCUGUCUGCGUGGUUUCAGCGGCAGGUUUUUGUUGCAAACUUAUGUACCUAUUGUAAUAUGCUUUUGAAAAAUAAACGAAAUAAAUAAAAU